rnacentral:lncRNA from 1 species
GGAAGUUUAGCAUUUAGAUUGGAAUAGGAGGGCAUUCAACAUCCAAUUGAAUUAUCUUGCAUUUCUUUCAAUUGGUAAGUGUGAUCGAUUUCAUCUUUCUUGUUCUCAUUUCUAACUAAGAGAUUAAGAAGUUUGUAAAUUUUGAGUUGAUAUCAAUGGUUUGAUCAUUAGUUAUUGAGGUUCUAUUUUGCUAUAGGAUUGUUAAUUUUUUUUAAAAUCUAGGAUUUGAUUAUUGUUUGAUUUAGGAUUUGUCU